UACGGAGGAUGCGAGCGUUAUCCGGAUUUAUUGGGUUUAAAGGGUGCGUAGGCGGGCUUUUAAGUCAGCGGUAAAAAUUCGGGGCUCAACCCCGCCCGGCCGUUGAAACUGGGGGCCUUGAGUGGACGAGAAGAAGGCGGAAUGCGUGGUGUAGCGGUGAAAUGCAUAGAUAUCACGCAGAACCCCGAUUGCGAAGGCAGCCUUCCGGCGCCCUACUGACGCUGAGGCACGAAAGUGCGGGGAUCGAACAGG
rnacentral:rRNA from 1 species